AUUAAAUUGUUUUUAACAAAAUGUUCAUGGAAAUAAUAUAGAAAGUAUUAGCCAGUAAAUGUUUAAUACAAUUUCUCAUUUCUAUUAAAUUCAAUAAUAGUCUUUAUCUUUUAUUUCAUUCUAGUUAUAGUAUCUCCUUAUCUUCAAUCAUUUCUUUAAUCUCAAUUUCUACCACAAAUUUUUUGGUGUGGUUUCCAAAAUAGUGUAUGAAAAGACACAUAUUUUAUUUGUCACAUAAAACCUGUAAUUAAAUAGUUUUUUUUUUAUAAAAGCAUAAUUAUUAACAUCAUGCCUUUGCCCAUGGUUGGACACAGGUCUUUCAAAAUGCUUAUGACUGUAUGCAGUUUUCUACUCUUCGGUUUUUGUAUGCUAUUAACAAUUUAAACCUUUUUAUAGAAUUGAAGUGAAUGGAAAUUUAUAAUAUUUUUAAUCUAUGAACAUAAUUGACUUUUACUUGUCAAUGCCUAGAAAAUUGUAAACAAUACUAUUUAUAAACAAAAUAUUGGCCUCAAAAGUAUCAAAAUGGUUAUUUUACUGAAGAAAUGAAUAGUACUAAUACUAACAAAAAUUUAAAGAGAUCUAAACAUAAAACAUUCUCAAGUUCAACUUUAAAAAAUGUGUACCUAUAUUUAUUCAUUUUGAUUUAUCAAUGUUUCACGUUUUUUCAUACUUAUACCCGCUACUUUAUGAGCGCAUUAAGCCUUUUAAGGCUCGAGCUUAAAAAGCGUUCCAAUUUAAUAGACAAUGACAUCAAAUUUCCUGCCACACACAAAGUCCCGUAAUGGUUAUUUUGCGAACCCUUACUUUAUUACUCCAAAAAGUACAGUUCGACAUUGCUUAGUUAAACACUUGUUUUUAACACUUCGACCGCCGCCGAGUGCUAUUAUGGACGUUAACUUCCUCUAAAUCUGACUAUAGUAAGAAGGGAAAUGUUACAAAACCUUUGCCUCCAUUAUUAGCCAAGGAUUCAGAAUGGGUGGAUAUUUUGCAAUCUUCAACAACAAAACCGACCUAUAACGACAAAUUGGAAGAAGAGGAGUUACCGCAACUGGUAAUAUAGUGUUUGAACUUUUUUAAUACAAAAUUUGUACCUUCACACCCAAGUGUAGGUAUUCGUUUUAAAAAGUUUAAGUGAUUUGGCUUGACAUUUUUUGUCUCUAAAUUGCAUUAACCAGUUCUUAAAUCUUUUCGAUUAUUUUUAUUUUACAGGUAGAUUGCAAAAAUGGAUUGGAUAAAAAACCUCUUGCUAUACUUUUCCCUAGCUUGCUAGAAAAAGACCCGCAAACUUUAAAGGGAGUUUUGAACAAAGCUAUGUCUACUACCGAAGUUACUAAACAUUUAGUAGAUUUGGGUCAAAAAGCAAAUUUUGCAUUUAUGAAAAAAACAAAUCGACUUAUUCCAUAUAAUAAGCAAUGGUUGGAAAGCUUAGUAGAAGUAUGUCAAUCCAAUCAUUCAAUUCAAACAGAGGAUCUAAGCCCAGGUAAACAUAUUCAAGUUAUUACAUCAUCAAGGUCGUCAACUGACCAUAGGCUUCCUCUAUCGCUUUCCACAAUACCCGGUUCAGUAUCCGCAUCCAGAGCACUCCCUCAACCUUGAACAUUUCUUGUUAAUUGUUGUUAAAGAUUUUUGACUUUAAAGCUGAUUACUGAAGUGAGUCCGGUUAGUAAAUAUGUUGCACGGGCCAAGUUUUAAUACCAAGUUAUGAAGAAAAUACAACUAGAUUGUUUAAAUUUGAAAAAGCCAUACAUAUA